AUGCUUAACACAUGCAAGUCGAACGGAAACGAUGGAAGCUUGCUUCCAGGCGUCGAGUGGCGGACGGGUGAGUAAUGCUUGGGAAUCUGCCUAAUAGUGGGGGAAAACUCGGGGAAACUCGGGCUAAUACCGCAUAAUCUCUUCGGAGGAAAGGGGGCCUCUACAUGUAAGCUCUCGCUAAUAGAUGAGCCCAAGUCAGAUUAGCUUGUUGGUGAGGUAAAAGCUCACCAAGGCUACGAUCUGUAGCUGGUCUGAGAGGACGAUCAGCCACACUGGGACUGAGACACGGCCCAGACUCCUACGGGAGGCAGCAGUGGGGAAUAUUGCACAAUGGGCGCAAGCCUGAUGCAGCAAUGCCGCGUGUGUGAAGAAGGCCUUAGGGUUGUAAAGCACUUUCAAUAGAGAAGAAAAGCUUAGAGUUAAUAACUCUAAGCAUUGACGUAACCUAUAGAAGAAGCACCGGCUAAAUCCGUGCCAGCAGCCGCGGUAAUACGGAUGGUGCGAGCGUUAAUCGGAAUUACUGGGUGUAAAGCGCGCGUAGGCUGUUUUAUAAGUCGGAUGUGAAAUCCCCGGGCUCAACCUGGGAACUGCAUCCGAAACUAUUUAACUAGAGUAUGGGAGAGGUAAGUAGAAUUUCCGGUGUAGCGGUGAAAUGCGUAGAUAUCUGAAGGAACACCAGUGG
rnacentral:rRNA from 1 species